UCUCUAUCUUUUCAUUUUCAGAAACAACCUUGAAACCGGGUGGAGACGGCACCCGAGCAGGUGGGACGCAUAGGCAAGAACAACUCCCUGCUGCACAGGAGAACAAGCUCAACCCUCUUCUUCUACUGAAGGGAGUAGUUACAUAAGCAUUGGGACAAUGGGUUGGAUCUUCCUGUUUAAUAUUAACACACCCUGCAAGGCAAGACUUCACUUCACAGACGUUCCUGCCCGGAAGUACUGUACUUCUGAACCAAAGACUUCAUCUGUCUAUGACUUUGAUUAAAAACUAGGAUAGUUUAGGAUAUUGGGGUUGGUGACUGAACAUGGCAGAAGAUCUUUGUGAGGACUAAGCCAGAACUGAACUUCACAAACUUGACACGAAACCUAUCCAGUGUGAGGAUAAUCGAGAGCCAAGAGAAUAUUGGGUUGUGUCUGAUGGCUUACACCAUGCACACGCACCAACAUCUACGGACAACCAACAUAGGGCCGUCCCAGGGACCAAUCAGGGCCAUCUUCUACCUCACAACGAAGGAACCUGUGCUUCCCAGGGCCCAAUCAGGGCCAUCUUCUACCUCACAACGAAGGAACCCAUGCUUUACCUCAAACACACCAGUGAUGGUCCAAGCUAGGGGUCGACCGAUUAUCGGCGUGGCCGAUUAUCGGCAGUGGCAUAACGACAUCUCUGACGUUCAUAACAAACCAAACCGUUUAAAAAUCGGUUGAAAAUUGUGCAAGUUAUGGUCAUUUAAAAAGUACAUGUAGCAUCAACACAAUGUUAUGGGUGAGCGAGUUGACUGUAGCAAGAUGGCCGCCAUGUGCGGACGUUCCACUCCGUUGUCCGGCAACGCGGACGAGACAUCUACCCUUCAUAGCUAUGGCCUACAUCCUCUCCAUAGGGACAUCUGUCAGUUCAUGGUAGUAUAUGGCGACUGUAUCGAGAGAUUGAAGGAAUCGAGUGACGUCAAGUCCUCGAGAAGUUAGUCUCACAAUCGUCAUCAAUUUGAUAAAUAAAGGUUAUGUGACAAAGUUUUCGAUGUGCAAGUGUCAAAAAUAUGUUAUCAUAUAUCUUGUUGUAUUAUAAACAACGUAACGUAUUUGCUACUUUACAUUCAUAAAAUUUAUUUUUAGGUUCGGAUAGCAUUCAAAUUAUAAGCUAGGUAAGAGCGCUGCCCCUCAGUGUAUGAGAUCGAAACCGCUGACCUCGUUUUAGUGGAAGUAUAUGCUAAAUGAAUACAUUAUUAUUUGAUCAUGUAGACUAGCGGCUAUGGUUUUUGAACAUGCUUUUGCAACCGGGAAAGGGAUGGCCACAUUUGAAGGCUGGCAAAACAAGACAAAGAUGUAUGUGCUUGUGUAGCCUUACUCUCUCACAUCUCACAUCUGUAUCUAGGCCUAUCUCUGUCUAUCUAGCUGUGGCAAUCUGUAUCUCUGGCUCUGUCAAUUAAUGUAUUCUAUAGCGUCCGUAAAUAUGUCUCCUCUCUAUAACCUACGAAUAUUAGUGAUUUCGAUGUCUUUUAAGCGUUUGAAAAAAAACGCAAUUCCUCUCGGAUCCUAUUCAUAGUUUUCAGUCACGUGACAUCCGCGGUGACCUGGAGGACAGAAAGCUGCUGGCAAUGGCGGCUCAGACCGUUGAGACGCAGAAAAAGGCGGCAAAUGCAGCCUAUACCUUCCUACGUUUCUUUUGAUCACCUCUUAGCUAAAGAAAAGGAAAUAUAUGGACACAAACUGCAAGUGUUGGGCACUUGCGAUCCAUAUACAGCACCCGCUGCUGUAUUUCUGCCCCUAAAAACCGCAAGGUUUUAUGUGAUGACUGUGAUAUCAUUACCUACUGUAAACUAGCUAGUGCUAACCCCUCUCUCUCUUAAACAACUGCUAACUAUUCAAACGGAAAGUCAACUUUCCUUUAAUUUUUACAACCUCAAUUCCCCAAAAGUUGGGAUGCUGUGAAAAACGUAGCCUAAAUACAAACAAAGGACCAAAUUAGUAUGAAAAACCAAUCAGUCUUAACACAAGCCUCACACAUUGUCUUUGUUUAACAUUCUGUUGAAUAUCGGUGUAAUCAUUUAAUUACAAAUGCAUUUUGAGUUUAAUUGUGUCUAACACAACAACCCAACUAUUUAGCUAACUAGCUAACUUUCACUGAAGUUGGUCGCCUCGAUACACAACAAACUAUUACAUAAAGAUGUGUUUUAAAAAAACACAUCUUAAAAAUACCAUAAUUAAUAUAGGCCUACCUGUAUUCUUGUGUUUAACUUUACAGGCAGGCACCAAGCAGUAAGCAGACACAUAGAGCAAUAUCACAAAAUUGUGAUAUGAUGCCACCAAAAGCUACCUUGUCAGCUUGUCAUGUGGGCUCUAGUGGGGGGCUUUGUCUGAUUGUUGUGACAACAUAAUUCGGUCAAUCUCUUUAUAUUUACAUAGACCUAGAUAUUUAUAUUUAACUCACUUCAAAGAUAAUAUAUGGAUAUUCUUUUGUUGCAGACACUGUCCAGUGUAAGGCCAUUAGAGAGAUCCCGGAGUUUGAGCUUGUCUAUGAUGAUGCUCUACAACCACCAACCCUCACCCUCACCCUCUUCGACCACUUGGGUACCUGUAAAGUUUUGACAAUUUACAUGACUGAGCUGUCAGAUUAUUUGAAAUAGGAGGUAACAAUAAAGCGUUUGAAAUUACUUGCACAUAGAAACUGACCUAUGUAGAGGUAAACAAAAGCAUGACCCUAACCAAACUGGGUUUCUAUAUCGGGAGUGCUUUCUUGGGUACCUGGAAGCAAAUAUCUAAAAAACAGCUUCAAGUGAGAUCUCAGAAGUGCUUGUGUCAGAUCCUUAGGUUAUUUGGAGUAGGCUAGGUUAAAGGUACAUUUUGAAUUGGCUUCUCAGAACUUCAGUGUCUGCUGUAUGCUUGGGGGUUUGCUCUUCAUCAAAUUCUAAUAAAUAUAACCAUGCUUUCAAAUCCAUUUCCUCUUUAGAACAACCAUCUGGGGAGUCAGGUGGCUGAGUGGUGAGGGAAUCGGGCUAGUAAUCCGAAGGUUGCCAGUUCGAUUCCCAGUCAUGCUAACUGACGUUGUGUCCUUGGGCAAGGCACUUCACCCUACUUGCCUUGGGGGAAUGUCCCUGUACUUACUGUAAGUCGCUCUGGAUAAGUGUGUCUGCUAAAUGACUAAAUGUAAAAUGUAAUGUAACAUCUCCAGAGGGCCGUCCCAGGGACCAAUCAGGGCCAUCUUCUAUCUCACAACGAAGGAACCUGUGCUUUACCUCAACCGCACCCGUGAUGGUCCAAGCCAGUUGCUAAUUUAACAAAAGACCUGCAACCUUUUCCAGUUUUGUCCUACUACAGUUUUUUUUCCUGUUCAAUGUCUAAUAAUAAACUUAUUUAUUUGUUUUUAUGCAUA